CGGCACGGGUGAGUAACACGUAUCCAACCUGCCGUCUACUCUUGGCCAGCCUUCUGAAAGGAAGAUUAAUCCAGGAUGGCAUCAUGAGUUCACAUGUCCGCAUGAUUAAAGGUAUUUUCCGGUAGACGAUGGGGAUGCGUUCCAUUAGAUAGUAGGCGGGGUAACGGCCCACCUAGUCAACGAUGGAUAGGGGUUCUGAGAGGAAGGUCCCCCACAUUGGACUGAGACACGGCCAA
rnacentral:rRNA from 1 species